rnacentral:rRNA from 1 species
AGACUACCAGGAUUCCUCAGUAAGGGCGACUGAAGCGGGAAGAGCUCCACUUGUGAAUCUGCGCUUGCGCCGAAUUGUGGUGUGUUUACGUUAUUGUCCGGGCCAAGUCCCUUGGAAAAGGGCAGCAGAGAGGGUGAGACUCCCGUUCGCCCGGACUUUUGAGUAGACAUGAUCGAGUCGAGUUGUUUGGGAUUGCAGCUCAAAGCGGGUGGUAAAUUCCAUCGAAAGCUAAAUAUUGGUGGGAGACCGAUAGCGUACAAGUACCGUGAGGGAAAGAUGCAAAGAACUUUGAAAAGAGAGUUAAAGAGUACCUGAAAUUGCUGAAAGGGAAGCGAAGGAAACCAGUGUCAUCCCCGUCAUACUUCUCUGCUCGCUUGCGGGUAGGGCGCUGUGGCUGGAUUGGUCAGGCUUGGUUGUGAGUGUCGGAAAGGCGUCAGAGGAGUUGACUCUGAUUGCUGGCGACAGUUGCGACUGAGGUUGUCGAAAUGGUUUUCUUUACCCCGUCUUGAAACACGGACCAAGGAGUCUAACAUAUGUGCGAGUACAGGGGUGGCAAACCCCGGUGCGUAAUGAAAGUGACAGUGGUUGGACAAUUUUGCACAAUCCGCCGGCCUCAAUCCCUCGGGAGAACGGUCUGAGUGUGAGCAUACAUGUUGGGACCCGAAAGAUGGUGAACUAUGCCUGAAUAGGGUAAAGCCAGGGGAAACUCUGGUGGAGGCUCGUAGCGAUUCUGACGUGCAAAUCGAUCGUCAAAUUGGGUAUAGGCGAGACUAUC